rnacentral:rRNA from 1 species
AACGAACGCUGGCGGCAUGCCUAACACAUGCAAGUCGAACGAGACCUUCGGGUCUAGUGGCGCACGGGUGCGUAACGCGUGGGAACCUGCCCUUAGGUUCGGAAUAACUCCCCGAAAGGGGUGCUAAUACCGGAUAAUGUCUUCGGACCAAAGAUUUAUCUCCUUUGGAUGGGCCCGCGUUGGAUUAGCUAGUUGGUAGGGUAAAAGCCUACCAAGGCGACGAUCCAUAGCUGGUCUGAGAGGAAGAUCAGGCACACUGGGACUGAGACACGGCCCAGACUCCUACGGGAGGCAGCAGUGGAGAAUAUUGGACAAUGGGCGAAAGCCUGAUCCAGCAAUGCCGCGUGAGUGAUGAAGGCCUUAGGGUUGUAAAGCUCUUUUACCCGGGAUGAUAAUGACAGUACCGGGAGAAUAAGCGCCGGCUAACUCCGUG